CUUCCACGCCCUGGCCUGCGCAUCAGGGUAGGGGUUUACGGGAGGGUCUUCGGCAGCUGCUUCGUGGUGGUCGUGUGCGUCCUCGGUGGUGGCGGUGGCUGUAUCGAUGACACGAGAGAGACGUCGGGGCCGGCGGUGCUGAGGCGGAUGCAGCGAUCUGCUUUGCCGCCUUGAGUGGCUGCUGCCCGGACCGCGUUUGCCCUCUCUGCCUGUCUCCCGACUCUUGUCGCCAUCUGAGCUGGAUGCGACAGCAGCACAUCACGAGCGCUGCGAGACCGAGGGUGAGGGGGGAUGGUCUAAAGGCUGCCAUGCUCGUUUCACUCUCUCCUUUGGCCUCUUGCUUCGACUGCACGUUCUCGACGAGAAAAGAGAAAAAGGCGCAUGCGCCACGCGGCGCUCUUCCCUUUUUGGCUGUGGUGGGGGUGAGGAGGCGGAGUGCUGCAUCGACACCUCUCACUGCCCGCCGAAGCCUCCGUCGCUCACUUCCCCCUCUCUCUCUCCCCGGUGGUGAAGCCGCACAUGCCGCGUCGUUGAGCCUCUCUUGCGGUGCAGGCUUGGCCUUGUCUCCCCCUGUUCAUUUUUUCUUUGCUGUUUUGAUUGUUUGUUUCUUCACUCUUCUCUCUCUGUGCAAG
rnacentral:misc_RNA from 1 species